ACGAGAAGCCCAUCAGCCCUUAAUUCAAUAACCCAACAAAUAUCCAAUACAAUCCAGCCCAUGUUCUUCUCCUUCUUUUAGAAAAAUGACUCGCAAGCAACGCCACAAAACCAGAAAAUGGCGAAACUCCAACUCGCAUCAGAGGCGAAACCAUCAAACAUCGUGUGUUCUCCUUAUCCUCUCGUACAGGCAUACUCGAACAGAGCAGGUGUCUCAAUCCUGUCGCUCGCUCCUCCUUACUCAUAAUCGGAUGGACUUGGUUCUCAAUCUAUUGAGAAUUCGUACGAAUUCCAGCUCCCUCUACCUUAUCCAUUAAGAGUUCUAAAUCGUGAGGCAUUCCCACAUCAUUUUCCCCCUCAAUUCCAACCCAGAAGUUGCCCUAUAUAAACCUUCUUCAUUCACUUUUUAGGGGAGGAUUUUUCAGAGAACAAAGAGUACCCAUAAAAUUUUGGGAUUUCUUGGUACCGUAGUUCAAAAUUUUAAAGAGUUUUGUGGCUUUUGAGUUGAAGAGGUGCAGUCGUCUUCACUCGUCGUUUUGGUUCUGCUGCCCAGAACCAGACUCCCCUCCUUGCAUUCCUUUCUCUUUGAGUCAACCUCCUUUAUGACGAUUGAAUGGAAACUAAUAUUAUUGGGUUAGACACCCAAAAGUACAGCAACAACAGCUCCAACGAGCUCAAAUGAGGAGCAAAAAUGGGUUGAACCCCAUACUUAACGAGGCAGCAGUACUAGCCUUGAAAAGGCUGAAAUUUAAUAAUUUUUUGGACUCCCCAAAAGUCCAAUAAGUGCAACAGUUUAUUACAGCAGCAAAAUUGGGGCUAAAAGUUAGGCGAAAAGACUAAUUUUCUCUUUAUAUUGUUUAUUCUUAUAUUGUUCGAUUUAGUUUCUCGUUUUCUCAUAUCAUUUUGUGUUGUAUUCAUUAACCUUCUUCUUAACUUAGAUAAAUCUUUGGAGGGAUUUUUAUUUCGUA